rnacentral:rRNA from 1 species
GGAGGCCCCGGGAAGGAAGUGGAGGAGCUCCGGGGGAAGAGGAAUGGGGCGGUGGGGCGAGAAGAAAUAGCGCCAUGGGAGGAGAAAAGAGGGGAGCUCGUGGGGCGCAAAAAAGUGUGGACCCUGGAGAACGUGCGGGGGAGAGUGAAGGAGCGUUUCUCCCACGGGUCGUCGCCAUCGCCAGUCAUCGAGCACCACCCACCGGUGGUGGCCACUGGCCAGCGAAGCCAUGACGUUAUCCCCUCACACACUCCGCCCGCCCCUCCCCCUCUCGCUCCCGCUCCCGCCAACUUCAAACCGCCGCCCGCCGCCCCGGCCCCUCCACCCGUCGCUCGCGCGCCGCCGCAGAAGCGUCCUCCUCCCCAAGCCGCCGCGCGCGGGCGCGGGCGCCGGGGACGGCAUGGCGACGCACGGGGCGCACCCCACGCUGCUCGAGCACAUGGGCCGGGCCGGCGCGCCCGCCGACCUCGCCGUCCUCGUCGCCCACAUCCAGGCCGCCUGCAAGCGCAUCGCCGCGCUCGUCGCGUCCCCCGGCAACGCCGACCUGUCGCGGGCCAAGCCGGCCGCUGCCGGUGCUGCAUCCGCGGCCGGCCGCGACGCGCCCAAGCCGCUCGACGAAUUGUCGAACGAGAUCAUCCUGUCGUCACUCCAAAGCUCUGGAAAAGUUGCGGUGGUGGCUUCCGAAGAAAAUGAUCUCCCCGUGUGGAUGUGCGACGACGGUCCCUACGUUGUUGUCACAGACCCGCUUGAUGGUUCUCGCAACAUCGAGGUGUCGAUCCCCACUGGAACGAUAUUCGGGAUCUACGAUAGGCUGGUGGAACUCGACCAGCUCCCUGUGGAGGAGAAAGCUCAGCUUAAUUCACUGCAGAGCGGUUCUCGCUUGGUCGCUGCUGGAUAUGUCCUGUAUUCAUCUGCUACCAUCUUCUGCAUCAGUUUUGGUGCGGGAACCCAUGGCUUCACUUUGGAUAGAUCAACAGGAGAAUUUGUUCUGACACAUCCAUCCAUGCAAAUACCCCCUAGAGGACAGAUAUAUUCAGUGAAUGAUGCGCGGUACUUCGACUGGCCAGAGGGCCUGAAGAAGUACAUUGACACGAUCAGACAAGGCAAGGGGCAGCAUCCCAAGAAGUACUCGGCUCGGUAUGUGUGCUCACUGGUUGCUGAUUUUCAUCGGACGAUCAUAUACGGUGGAGUUGCAAUGAACCCGAGGGAUCACCUUCGGUUGGUUUACGAGGCAAAUCCUCUCAGUUUCCUUGCCGAGCAGGCAGGGGGGCGAGGCUCGGAUGGCAAAACCAGAAUCCUCUCCAUUCAGCCUGUGAAGCUGCACCAGAGGCUGCCAUUGUUCCUGGGGAGCAUGGAGGACAUGCUUGAGCUAGAAAGCUAUGGGGAUGUCCAGCAGAAGGUCAAUCCUGGAUACGAUGUUUAAGGUGAAAUAUUCAGGUAACCAAUGUAUAUGGUAAAGUCUGUAUUUGCAAGAACAAUGUCUCUGUGUCUUACUUCCUUUGCCUUCUUGCCUAUGCAAUUGCAGAGUACUGCAUAGCGGAAGUCCGCAGAAUUUGCCGUAGCUCACUGUGAAAAUGAAAGAUGCAAUAUGUCUCAUCUUUUUGUAGUUCCA